AGCAACAGAUUUAGAAACAUUGGCGUCAUUUCAGGAUGAUCUGGAAACUUUUAAUAUGGAUACUGGUGGAGGUCAGAUGGGUAAUAUGGAUCUUAACAAGGACGAUGUCGGGCUUGGGGGACAGUUCAGUAUCUCGGAUCAAUUGUCAGGUU